CUUGUUCUCAUUUGUAAGACGCUUUGGAUAAAAGCGUCUGCUAAAUGACUAAAU
rfam:Danio rerio chromosome 25, GRCz11 reference primary assembly.